GAUGAACGUUGGCGGUGUGCCUAAUACAUGCAAGUCGAACGGAGACUGUAGCAAUACUGUCUUAGUGGCGAACGGGUGAGUAACGCGUUGGUGAUCUGCCUCGAAGUGUGGAAUAACCUCCCGAAAGGGAAGCUAAUACCGCAUAGUCUCUCAAGGUUUAGAAAAUUGAGAGUAAAGGAUUUAUUCGCUUCGAGAGGAGCCUGCGUCCCAUCAGCUAGUUGGUAGGGUAACGGCCUACCAAGGCAAUGACGGGUAGGGGACCUGAGAGGGUGGCCCCCCACAAUGGAACUGAAACACGGUCCAUACACCUACGGGUGGCAGCAGUAGGGAAUAUUAGAAAUGGGCGGAAGCCUGAUCUAGCAACACCGCGUGUGCGAUGAAGGCCUUCGGGUCGUAAAGCACUUUUGGUAGGGAAUAGGAAGGGAAGGUACCUCCAGAAUAAGUCUCGGCUAACUACGUG
rnacentral:rRNA from 1 species